CCUACGGGUGGCAGCAGUGGGGAAUAUUGGGCAAUGGGCGCAAGCCUGACCCAGCAACGCCGCGUGAAGGAAGAAGGCUCUCGGGUUGUAAACUUCUUUUGUCAGGGAAGAGUAGAAGACGGUACCUGAGGAAUAAGCCACGGCUAACUACGUGCCAGCAGCCGCGGUAAUACGGAGGUGGCAAGCGUUAUCCGGAUUUACUGGGUGUAAAGGGCGUGUAGGCGGGACUGCAAGUCAGAUGUGAAAACCACGGGCUCAACCUGUGGCCUGCCUUUGAAACUGUAGUGCUUGAGUACUGGAGAGGCAGACGGAAUUCCUGGUGUAGCGGUGAAAUGCGUAGAUAUUAGGAGGAACACCAGUGGCGAAGGCGGUCUGCUGGACAGCAACUGACGCUGAGGCGCGAAGGCGUGGGGAGCAAACAGGAUUAGAUACCCUGGUAGUC
rnacentral:rRNA from 1 species